UACGUAGGGCGCAAGCGUUGUCCGGAAUUAUUGGGCGUAAAGAGCUCGUAGGCGGUCUGUCGCGUCGGAUGUGAAAGCCCGGGGCUUAACCCCGGGUCUGCAUUCGAUACGGGCAGACUAGAGUGUGGUAGGGGAGAUCGGAAUCCCUGGUGUAGCGGUGAAAUGCGCAGAUAUCAGGAGGAACACCGGUGGCGAAGGCGGAUCUCUGGGCCAUUACUGACGCUGAGGAGCGAAAGCGUGGGGAGCGAACAGG
rnacentral:rRNA from 1 species